GCCUGCAGAACUGUGAGCCAAUGAAACCUCUUUUCUUUAUAAAUUACCCAGUCUCAGGGAUUUCUUUGUAGCAAUGUGAGAAGGACCUCAUACAGAUGGUCACAGCAACCCCUUGCAGAGGGCUUUGUGACUAUUUUGCAGAAGGGAAAACGGGCUCGGUAAGGAACCCUGGCCUCGGAGGGCAGCCCUUCUUCCUUCCUUCCUAGGGGCAGAACUCCUGAGGAAGAUGGGGAGCCGACAUUUCCGGGUCUUCCUCGCUCUGGUAACUAGGGAAGAUGUCUUUAUCUUCCGAGAUGACUUUCAAGGCUAAAGCAUGGCUGUCAAUUUCGGCAGUAAGUGAGGGUUGAGGAAGCAGUGCAGGUCAAGCUUUUUCUGAGGUGGUGUCUGUGUAAAAGGCAAAGUUUCGCCUUAUGGCAGCACUGGUGGGGCCAUAUUGGAACCUGCCAUACGUCACUGCAGCUGACACACAGACCUAGACACCCUAAGACGCCCACCUUCUGGGUCUAUCCUGAGACUCCUUUGUUUCAACCAACUAUGAACAGAGCCACAAGCUCGCUCUGUCCAAUCAGGAUGUGCGUUAUCAAUCCUUCGUUAGCAGAACCACCGGGAGCCCCUCUUCCAACCACUGAAAUAUGUCUCCCACUUGGCGGUAGGGCCGGAUUCAGCAAAUAAAAAUACAAGAUGCCCAGUUAAACUCGAGUUUGCAUGGGGCUGUACUGUACUUCUACUAAGAAAUCACUUACUUGUCUGAAAUUCAAAUUGAGCUGGGCAUCUUGAACCUUCGGUGCCACCCCACCCUCAGUGAAUUUCUUCACUGGUCCAUGCUCCAUGCUCAGCAAGUUGAGACAUUCACAUACAUCAAACUCUAUUUUUAGUUUUAAGUUCUGGUGGUCUUUUUCUUUGUUUUGUAUAUCCUCCUCCAUUUUCCUCACUCUGGGGGUUGAAACCCCCUCCCUCUGAUACAUGAAACCAAUUCAUGAGCCCCUGGCAGACACAAUUUCUUCAACCUAAUAUAUUUUUUUUUCUGGCAAAAUUGUUAUUCCACAUAGAUUUCCAACAGGAAGAGUGGAGAGAGAAAAAGAACUGCCGUACUUGCUGACUACACGUGGGAAACUAAGAAAAUAUUUACAGCUUGCAGAAGAGGUGGAUGUGGAAUCAGAGAAGUUGAGCCACUUGCUCAUGGUCACACAGCUAUAAAGAUGGAAACCAAGGUCCAGAUGCCCUUACUCAUCGAUAAGGCUAAUUUCAGCUUUCCCUCGAGAAGCCAAGUUCAAAGCCAUCCGCAAAAUGAUCACUCAGCAUCCACCAGACAGAUUGGUGGGGGCCAGUCGGGGGAGGAGGAAGGAGGAAGCGAAGAGACAACACCAGCAUCCACUCACUGGCUCUCUCA